AACAGGAUUAGAUACCCUGGUAGUCCACGCUGUAAACGAUGUCGAUUUGGAGGUUGUGCCCUUGAGGCGUGGCUUCCGGAGCUAACGCGUUAAAUCGACCGCCUGGGGAGUACGGCCGCAAGGUUAAAACUCAAAUGAAUUGACGGGGGCCCGCACAAGCGGUGGAGCAUGUGGUUUAAUUCGAUGCAACGCGAAGAACCUUACCUACUCUUGACAUCCAGAGAACUUUCCAGAGAUGGAUUGGUGCCUUCGGGAACUCUGAGACAGGUGCUGCAUGGCUGUCGUCAGCUCGUGUUGUGAAAUGUUGGGUUAAGUCCCGCAACGAGCGCAACCCUUGUCAUUAGUUGCUACGAAAGGGCACUCUAAUGAGACUGCCGGUGACAAACCGGAGGAAGGUGGGGAUGACGUCAAGUCCUCAUGGCCCUUAUGGGUAGGGCUUCACACGUCAUACAAUGGUCGGGACAGAGGGUCGCCAACCCGCGAGGGGGAGCCAAUCCCAGAAACCCGAUCGUAGUCCGGAUCGCAGUCUGCAACUCGACUGCGUGAAGUCGGAAUCGCUAGUAAUCGCGGAUCAGCAUGUCGCGGUGAAUACGUUCCCGGGUCUUGUACACACCGCCCGUCACACCAUGGGAGUGGGUUUUACCAGAAGUAGUUAGCCUAACCGCAAGGGGGGCGAUUACCACGGUAGGAUUCAUGACUGGGGUGAAGUCGUAACAAGGUAACC
rnacentral:rRNA from 1 species